GUUCAGGACUAGUUAACAACUACUGCCUCUGUACAAGGAGGUUUAUUCUUAAACAGGGUGUCCUUUGGCUCAAAGGAGAAAAGAUGCUGGACCACCUCCAAGUGACCCGGCAGCUUGGCUGGGAGGCCGUCAAGACGGGAGCUGCGACGGGAGCUGCGCGGUGUGUUUCAGGAAACUCUCCCGAGGGACCAGGUGGGGUGGCGCCCGGGAGGGGCUGGACGCCUGGUGAGGUUUGUGCCAGGGUCCCAGGUGCCGGGCCCGAGGCUAAGUCAGGACUUUCUUCCACCUGCUCCCGCUCUCAACAGCUCCCGUGCCGGCCUGGCCAGAGGAGAAGAAAUUCAAUCCUGUUCAGAAGACAAGGAAGGAGGCGGCUAGAAGCCUGGGGACAGUGUCGGGACACAGAGACACUCCCCGGGCUGCCGCAAACCAGCUCUGCCUGUCGGCCCGGUGUCAUCAUGUGACGAGUUAAGGCGUUUAAACGUCCUUGGCCGUCUGCGGGCUCCUGACAGCGCGGCAGGGAAGGAGCGCGCCCGCAGGUGGCUCACAGCAGUUUCGGUCUGGUUUCUGUGCGGCCGUCCAGCUGGCACAAUGCGCACGGCCUGACAUCCCUGGCCAGACGAGGCCUCACGAAGCGAGUUAGACAGAGGGAAGGAACGGACCUGCGCUCACAGGUGACACACAGGACACACCCUCCCUCCCUGGGGGCCCCCGGCCUUGCCUGCGGUCCCAGGUCACACGCGCCCACUGGGCUCCGUUGGCACCAGAGCUACUUCAGGAAGACGGAAGAGCCUUUUCCCCUGCAUUUCAAGGAAAAGCUAUUAAAGAAACCCUCACACAAAUAAAUCCUCACCAUAUGGAAUCUGCAUAAAACCAAGGAAGAAAAGUGGGAUUCUGGAAGAUGCACUGAGAAACCGCUGAAAUGAUGCUGACAGUUACUUUGGAAAGAAAAGAAAGUCUUCCAAUGCCAUGGCCUGGCCUGGCGUCCGCAGGGCCCCCCGGGAUUUCUUCUUCUUCGAGUGUCAGCGUCCUCGUCCCCGUGCAGACCUGGGCGUCCUCCGGGCUCCGCUCUGUUGAAACCAUGAACCUCGCCAUCUCCAGCCGGCUUAAACAACUGAGAGGCUACCUCGCCGCCAAAAGGUCCCGGGUGAAGGAGCUGGCCAUUAUCCCCGGGGCUGGUGACCACCAAGAGGUCGCCUGACCGGAUCACAGUGUUUGGAACAAAGCAAAGCCCACGCAGGCUUCGGCGACGUCAUUCUGAUUCGGCCGCAGCCGCCGGGUCCAGGAGCCCUGCGCUCCCUCCCCGCCGCCUCCCCCAGGUGCUGGGAGCAGGUGACCCUCCCUUUGCACAGGACACGCUCCCUGCAGACCCCUGACUCGCACAGGCUCUGCAGGGGCGCGGGGGGCUCCAGGGGGAAGAGACUGCUCACUGGGCAGACGACACACAGCCCAGGAACAGGCCACCGUGUGGGAGCUGUGACACACCCUGGGCUGCAGCUUCUCAGCUGGGACACCUCAAGGUGAGCCCAGAAGGACAGGGGAAGGGGAUGGGUGCAGGGAAAGAGGGCCCGGACGAGGGAGAGGCUUGUAUCUCCCACAUCAGGAGCUGGCUCCAGGCACCCAUGACCAUGAACCCAAGAGCCAUUCGUUCCCUUCGGGCCACAAAAGUCCUACAAGUUGCAAACAGAAACCCGUCUUCUGUGAAACUGUGCUUCCAGCUCCCGCCUUAAGGAUGGCCACGGGCUUCCAGGAAAGCUGUCUAAAGGGGGCCGAUUCAGCUAGAGAUGGAACAAAAGUGACCCGGACAUACACAGACAUAUACCUGUGCUCUCUCAGAAUUUUUUCCCACAUAGAUUAUCACAGAAUAACGUUCAGUUUUUUAUCUGAAAAUUAUUUUCAUAAAGAUUGUGAAUUAAAAUCUAGCAUUUCCUCCAAACAGACUAUUAUUUAUUUAAUAGAUAAUAGUCCUGCUAUUAUUUAUUAAAUAAUCUACAGUUUCCCUUACUAAUUUGAAUUGAAUCUAGAAUCUCUAUUCUCUGUUAUUAAAAUGCUUUUUGUUCGCUCCUGCA